UCUCCGUUGGUGAACCAGCGGAGGGAUCAUUACCGAGUUUACAACUCCCAAACCCCAUGUGAACCUUACCAAACGUUGCUUCGGCGGGAUGCCCCGGGCGCGGGCCGCAAGGCCUCAGCCCCGGAACCAGGCGCCCGCCGGAGGCCCAAACCAAACUCUUGUUUUUGUAGAAUCUUCUGAGUGGCCUUUUAGGCAAAAAAUGAAUCAAAACUUUCAACAACGGAUCUCUUGGUUCCGACAUCGAUGAAGAACGCAGC
rnacentral:misc_RNA from 1 species